rnacentral:rRNA from 1 species
UACGUAGGGUGCGAGCGUUAAUCGGAAUUACUGGGCGUAAAGCGUGCGUAGGCGGUUGGCUAAGUCAGAUGUGAAAGCCCUGGGCUCAACCUGGGAAUGGCAUUUGAAACUGGCGAGCUAGAGUGUGAUAGAGGAUGGCGGAAUUCCCGGUGUAGCGGUGAAAUGCGUAGAGAUCGGGAGGAACAUCCGUGGCGAAGGCGGCCAUCUGGAUCAACACUGACGCUGAGGCACGAAAGCGUGGGGAGCAAACAGG